AGUGAACGCUGGCGGUAGGCCUAACACAUGCAAGUCGAACGGCAGCACAGUAAGAGCUUGCUCUUACGGGUGGCGAGUGGCGGACGGGUGAGGAAUACAUCGGAAUCUACUUUUUCGUGGGGGAUAACGUAGGGAAACUUCCGCUAAUACCGCAUACGACCUACGGGUGAAAGCAGGGGAUCUUCGGACCUUGCGCGAUUGAAUGAGCCGAUGUCGGAUUAGCUAGUUGGCGGGGUAAAGGCCCUCCAAGGCGACGAUCCGUAGCUGGUCUGAGAGGAUGAUCAGCCACACUGGAACUGAGACACGGUCCAGACUCCUACGGGAGGCAGCAGUGGGGAAUAUUGGACAAUGGGCGCAAGCCUGAUCCAGCCAUACCGCGUGGGUGAAGAAGGCCUUCGGGUUGUAAAGCCCUUUUGUUGGGAAAGAAAAGCAGCAGGUUAAUACCCCGCUGUUCUGACGGUACCCAAAGAAUAAGCACCGGCUAACUUCGUG
rnacentral:rRNA from 1 species